AUCCAGCUGACGAGUCCCAAAUAGGGAGAGACGCGCGUCCUGGAU
rnacentral:hammerhead_ribozyme from 1 species